UGUAGGGGGACCUAGGUGGCCCAUAGUUUAAAAAACAUAAAAAACAACAAUAACACAAAAUAAUAAAAUAAUUUGGUAAAAUACAAUAGACAAUAAAAAAAAUUAGUAAAAUAACAUUUAAGAGACGUCACAAAGUAGGCAUGUUUUUUAAACUAUGAGCCACCUAGGUCCCCCUACGUUUUUUUAUACCACAGGUGCUCAAACUUUAUCAUAAUAAAUUCGAAUACACUAUUUUUCAUUUUUAAGUAUUUAAAAAAAAGAAAGUUGUGGCUAGAAAUAUUUUGUAAUGCGCGUUAGCAAGGCGGACUAUCCACGGCUAUUUCCAGAGAAAAUCAAUUCGUUAAUAUUGAAUUUGCAGCCAUAGUACUCAAAAGUUUGAACAAAGGUAUCGAAUUUCGUACUUAAUUUUUUUUUAAAUAAACCCUAGACCGUUGCAGAUAGUUUAAUUUUUUAUUUUUUUUCUGGGUUGGCCCUGUACCCCUCCACAAGCACCUGCGGGGUUAUCCAUUAAUUAUCGGAUAUCCUGUAUAUAAGAGAUUUCACCUAUAUAUUGACUCAUCACGAUCUCUGGAACCAUCAGGUUUAGAGACUUGAAAUUUGAUAGGAAUAUUCCUUUCGCCCACAAGAAGGGGUUGUGGGGGCGUUAACUAUGGAUAAUUCCCGCUUUUAAACUAUAUCUUUUAUCGACUCCAAACUUGGUAAGAAUGUCCUAUAUGUGAUGUAGAAAUGAUUGAUGAACGAAAUUUAUGAUAAUUCAUCCCAAAUAAGGAGUUAAUGUAUGUAACUGUAAUGUAUGAAAUGUAUGUAACUCCGAAACUACGGAACCAAUUUUUAACAAAUUUUGUAAGCAUCUGUAAUUUAUUUAAUUUGGGAGUUAGGUUAGUUUUUUAUCCCGAUUGGCCACCGGGCCUGUCUGGGUACGAGCCUCGAGGUUGCCCUCUUUACCCGGGCUUUCUUCUCUGGGGCUUUGCCUCCGGGAUCGUAUCCUUUCGGCCCUAUUGGGCCAGGGUCACAGUGCCCUUAGGGUCAUCCCUAAAAUAGAAAUAUUUAGUUAGGUUGAAUUUGAAAUGAACAAAAGAGAAUUUUAAGCUACAGAAAGAUUUUUUGGAAGGUAUGGUAGUUUUUAUUUCAAUUGUACCCGGUAGGUGGCGCUGCUAUCGGUAUUUUAUUCCGAAACUACUGAACCAAUUUUUAUCAAAUUUUGUAAGCAUUUGUAAGUUGGCCCAACUUGGGACAUAGAGUAGUUUUUAUCUCAAUUGGACCCGAUAGCUACCACUGCUAUCGGUAUGUAACUCCGAAACUACUGAACCAAUUUUUAUCAAAUUUUGCAAGCAUCUAUAAUUUGGUUCAGCUUGGGAAAUAGGGUAAUUUUAAUUUCAAUCAAACCCCAUAGGUGGCGCCGUUAUCGGUACUAACUUCAAAACUACUGAACCAAUUUUUAUCAAGUUUUUAAGCAUCUGUAAUUUGGACCAACUUGGGAAAUAGGAUAGUUUUUAUUUCGAUUGGACCCGGUAGGUGGUGUUGCUAUCGGUAUGUAACUCUGAAACUUCUGAACCAAAUUUUCAUCAAGUUUUAGAAGGAUCUAUAAUUCGGUCGACUUAGAAGGUAUGGUUGUUUUAUUUCAAUUGUACCCGGUAGGUGGCGCUGCUAUCGGUAUGUAACUCCGAAACUACUGAACCAAUUUUUAUCAAAUUUUGUAAGCAUCUGUAAGUUAGGCCAACUUGGGACAUAGGGUAGUUUUUAUCUCAAUUGGACCCGAUAGAUGGCGCUGCUAUCGGUAUGUAACUCCGAAACUACUGAACCAAUUUUUAUCUAGUUUUGUAAGCAUCUGUAAUUUGGUCUAACUUAGAAAAUAUGGUAGUUUUUAUCUCAAUUGGACCCGGUGGGUGGCACUGCUAUCGGUAUGUAACUUCGAAACUACUGAACCAAUUUUUAUCAAAUUUUUAAGCAUGUGUAAUUUGGUCCAAGUUGGGACAUAGGGUAGUUUUUGUCUCAAUUGGACCUGGUAGGUGGCGCUGCUAUCGGUAUGUAAGCUAUCAAACUUGGUUGCUGUUUUUCGGGCAGGACAACACUCGCCGGGUCCGCUAGUUUCAUAUAAAUUGAAUCCUACAGUUUAUCAUCAAAGUGUCAUAUGAGAGGGUAUAGUACACUGCAGAUGUAGACAGAGGGUAAAGUACACUAUAGAUGUAUCACAAUUAUUCAAACAAUGACAUAACAUAACUUGUUGAAAAUGUAAAGCAACAGAAUUGUAGUGUUGUAAACAUGGCAUGGCAUGUAUAGAUGGCUACGAUCCUAGUAACCUUAUUUUAUUUGAAAAUAUUCGUGUAUCAUUGUUUGUAAGACCUUUGUAAUGUCUAGAAAUCGUUAUCGCUCAUUUAAAAUAUUUGUCAAAUGCAUUGUUGAUAGUAAUUUAUAAUAAGCCUUUUCUCUUAUAUAAGCUUUAUGGUUUAACAUAUUCGAUUGUAAAUUAAAAAGCUAAUCAAAUGUUGUUAUUUUUACGAAGCUUACAUUAGUGAAAAGCCUUCCGACGAGUUUCCAGUACUUACCCUUGUCAACAGAGAUGUUAAUUAAGUAAUUAAUAAAUUACCAGAACUGAAGGAUUUUUCAUACAAGGAAUGUGGUCCUUGCUGAAAGAAAGAUUUCAGAAAAUCUUACCUACAGCAAAAUAAUUAUAUAUAUAUGGCCAAAGUUACGAUGCCCAAUAAGUUAUGUAACUGAUGUAAAUUUAUAGCUUUAAAGUACGCGUUUAGGUUAUGUAUAAAUAUUUUAAGAUUUGAAAGUGAUAAUAGACCUAUUGUAAAUUUACGAUCAGUGAUGUUGCUAUUAAAUCAUACUGUGUAUUAUAGAAAUGUAUAAAUAUAUACACAAUGUAUAUAUUCAAAUUUACAAUACUAUUUUUUCACGCAAACACACUUUAACUACUUAUCUAUAGAUAAACAAAUGGAACAUGUAACUAUAAUUAUAAUACAUCCUAAUUGUGUCCAAGAAAAGGAAGUAUUUUAUGUUAUUUUGAGGUAGAUGUGUUAAUUGUCUUUUCUAUGGCCAUGUACAUAGCGGAGAUAAAUAAAAGCAUAUUUCAAUUAAA
rnacentral:misc_RNA from 1 species